GGCCACGGUACCCUGACCGCGCGAAGGUAGCAUAAUCACUUGUUCUUUAAAUAGGGACUCGUAUCAACGGCAUCACGAGGGUUACACUGUCUCCUUUUUCUAAUCAGUGAAACUAAUCUCCCCGUGAAGAAGCGGGGAUACUACUAUAAGACGAAAAGACCCCAUGGAGCUUUAAACCCAACUACACUCCUAUCCUCAAUAACCACAUAACUAAAAGGACACUGUAUGCUUGGUUUUAGGUUGGGGCGACCACGGAGUAAAAACUAACCUCCAUGAUGAACGGACCUACCCCCUUAUCUAAGAGCCACCCCUCUAAGAAUUAGCACACUAACAUAAAAUGAUCCUUUUCUUGAUCAACGAACCAAGUUACCCUGGGGAUAACAGCGCAAUCCAUUUCAAGAGCCCCUAUCGACAAAUGGGUUUACGACCUCGAUGUUGGAUCAGGAUAUCCUAGUGGUGCAGCAACUACUAAUGGUUCGUUUGUUCAACGAUUAAAAUCCU
rnacentral:rRNA from 1 species